rnacentral:tRNA from 1 species
GGUUGGGGCUCAGUGGCAGAGCGCUUGCCUAGCAUGCAUGAGGCACUGGGUUCAAUCCUCAGCACCA